rnacentral:rRNA from 1 species
UACGAAGGGGGCUAGCGUUGCUCGGAAUCACUGGGCGUAAAGCGCACGUAGGCGGGUCCUUAAGUCAGGGGGGAAAUCCUGGAGCUCAACUCCAGAACUGCCUUUGAUACUGAAGAUCUUGAGUUCGGGAGAGGUGAGUGGAACUGCGAGUGUAGAGGUGAAAUUCGUAGAUAUUCGCAAGAACACCAGUGGCGAAGGCGGCUCACUGGCCCGAUACUGACGCUGAGGCACGAAAGCGUGGGGAGCAAACAGG